rnacentral:rRNA from 1 species
UAGGGAAUCUUCGGCAAUGGGGGGAACCCUGACCGAGCAACGCCGCGUGAGUGAAGAAGGUUUUCGGAUCGUAAAGCUCUGUUGUUAAUGAAGAACGAGUGUGAGAAUGGAAAGUUCAUGCUGUGACGGUACUUAACCAGAAAGGGACGGCUAACUACGUGCCAGCAGCCGCGGUAAUACGUCGGUCCCGAGCGUCGUCCGGAUUUAUUGGGCGUAAAGCGAGCGCAGGCGGUUAGAAAAGUCUGAAGUGAAAGGCAGUGGCUCAACCAUUGUAGGCUUUGGAAACUGUUUAACUUGAGUGCAGAAGGGGAGGGUGGAAUUCCAUGUGUAGCGGUGAAAUGCGUAGAUAUAUGGAGGAACACCGGUGGCGAAAGCGGCUCUCUGGUCUGUAACUGACGCUGAGGCUCGAAAGCGUGGGGAGCGAACAGG